AUUGUCACCAACUGUUUACUAAUACUGGCGAUGUUACAUUAGAUAUAAAUACGCAACGUUUUUGUAUUCGUCAUUCUUUCAAGUUUCUUUGGUGCUUUCUCCUUUUGAAAUAUAUGAUUAUGACACGACUAUUUCCUUUUUGCUUCUUGUUUUUGAUAGCAUUAACAGCUAUUAUAGAAGCAAAUGAACGGGAUUGUAAUGGAUGUUUAAUCGAGGGUAGAUGCCACAAAUUCGGACAAAAAUGGAUGGAAAAAACAGAUAUUAUGUGUGCUCGGAAACAGUGUCGCCGUAUGAGUCAAACCCAAUGGAAAGUAUUAGUAAAAAAAGUUUAUUGUCGGCAGAAUAAUGGCAGAUGUGUUGGGAAAAAUAAAACUUGGCCAAAUUUGGAAGACGGUGAAUGCUGGACACACAGGUGCCACAUUAAGGGAGGUAAACGCGUUGAAAUCACAUCAAAAUUAGGGGGAAAAUGUUAAGAAAAGCUGAUAUACCCUCCAGGCUUCAUGAGAUGUCUAGGGGAAAUUUCGAACCUGGGUUCUCAUUCCUAAGAAAAUUAAAUAGAUCGAUCUACACCUAAAACCAAAAUCAGUUUCAAAUAAAUUGGUGAAGAAUGGUAUACUAAUUAUACCAGACCAAGAUUUAAUCAUUCUAUCGUACACUCCUCACUGAAACACGUGUAAGAAAUAACGUAAUAAACUAUUUUCGGAACCAA